UUCCUGGUGGUCCAGUGGUUCGGACUCCACAUUUUCACUGCCGAGGCCUGGGCUCAAUCCCUGGUCAGGGAA
rnacentral:tRNA from 1 species